GACGAACGCUGGCGGCGUGCUUAACACAUGCAAGUCGAACGGAAAGGCCCUGCUUUUGUGGGGUGCUCGAGUGGCGAACGGGUGAGUAACACGUGAGUAACCUGCCCUUGACUUUGGGAUAACUUUAGGAAACUGGGGCUAAUACCGGAUAGGAGCUCCUGCUGCAUGGUGGGGGUUGGAAAGUUUCGGCGGUUGGGGAUGGACUCGCGGCUUAUCAGCUUGUUGGUGGGGUAGUGGCUGACCAAGGCUUUGACGGGUAGCCGGCCUGGGAGGGUGACCGGGCACAAUGGGACUGAGAUACGGCGCAGACUCCUACGGGAGGCAGCAGUGGGGAGUAUUGCACAAUGAGCGGAAGCCUGAUGCAGCAACGCCGCGUGCGUGAUGACGGCCUUCGGGGUGUAAACCGCUUUCGACGGUGACGAAGCGUGAGUGACGGUAAUGAAUAAAGAAGCACCGGCUAACUACGUG
rnacentral:rRNA from 1 species